rnacentral:rRNA from 1 species
GACCGGCGCACGGGUGAGUAACGCGUAUGCAACCUACCUUUAACUGGGGCAUAGCUCGAGGAAACUCGAAUUAAUUCCCCAUAGUACAUUAUAAUAUCUCAUGAUAUAAAUGUUAAAGAUUUAUCGGUUAAAGAUGGGCAUGCGUCUGAUUAGUUUGUUGGUAAGGUAACGGCUUACCAAGACUACGAUCAGUAGGGGGUCUGAGAGGAUGAUCCCCCACACUGGUACUGAGACACGGACCAGACAUCUACGGAUGGCAGCAGUAAGGAAUAUUGGGCAAUGGGCGCAAGCCUGACCCAGCCAUGCCGCGUGCAGGAUGACGACCCUAUGGGUUGUAAACUGCUUUUAUAUAGGAAGAAAAUACUCUUGCGAGAGGAUCUGACGGUACUAUAUGAAUAAGGACCGGCUAACUCCGUGCCAGCAGCCGCGGUAAUACGGAGGGUUCAAGCGUUUUCCGGAUUUAUUGGGUUUAAAGAGUGCGUAGGUGGUUUAUUAAGUCAGUGGUGAAAUCCUGCAGCUCAACUGUAGAACUGCCAUUGAUACUGGUAAACUUGAGUUUGGUUUAGGUAAGCGGAAUUUAUGAUGUAGCGGUGAAAUGCAUAGAUAUCAUAAGGAACACCAAUAGCGAAGGCAGCUUACUGGACCACAACUGACACUGAGGCACGAAAGCGUGGGUAGCGAACAGGAUUAGAUACCCUGGUAGUCCACGCCGUAACGAUGCUCACUCGAUGUUAGCGAUAUACUGUUA